GUGGAGGAGCUGUUGACUGAGCGCCGACGAAGGAGACCAUCACGAGGGAGUACGCAUCGAUCGAUGAUUCCUCUGACCCGUGUCCUGCGCUUGUGGCUGCCCGCUGGGAUCGGACACCAUGGUUUUUAAAUCGGCAUAUGGUGGUGGUGCUCGUACCGGCUGCAACAGUUCGUGGGUCUGUUGGUAUCCGGGGACAUUGGUGGCUUCCUCUUUGACUCACGCAUAACUGGGGGCGACACUUGGAGUGCCAUUUGGGGCGGAGAAACAGGAUGAUAAAGGAAAAGGCUUGGGCGAGGGUGGGCGUUGGGUGGCGGCGGCCUUCCAUUACCUAGCCUUGGCACCUCAUUUCGUUACGAUAGCAAGUACUCCCUUCGUCCCAAAAUAAGUGUUGCUGACUUAGUACAAUGCACUUAUUUUUGCGAUGGAUGGCUCUACUUCAAAUCUCCGGCCUCAUAAGUGCAGAGUUCGAGGUGCGCAGAUGACUAGCAGCUUCUACGGGCUAAACCAAAGAUGGUGUCAACCUGCAUCUGGAACAGCUCCAACAGGAAGUUGGAAGAAACGUACUUCAAGUGGAACAGAUCGGAAGGUUCCUCUGAUGUGAUGUUGUUUUUUAUGUUCUGUUGGGUAGUAAGUUGAUGAAAUAUUGGCUAUUACAAGCUAUUAUGCUCCCUUUUAA